rnacentral:rRNA from 1 species
UACGUAGGGUGCGAGCGUUAAUCGGAAUUACUGGGCGUAAAGGGGGCUUAGGCGGUUCUCCAAGGCCGUUGUGAAAGCCCCGGGCUCAACCUGGGAAUGGCAGUGGAAACUAGGGGACUGGAAUCUGGCAGAGGGGGGUGGAAUGCCGCGUGUAGCAGUGAAAUGCGUAGAGAUGCGGCGGAACACCGAUGGCGAAGGCAGCCCCCUGGGCUGAGAUUGACGCUCAGGCACGAAAGCGUGGGGAGCAAACAGG